rnacentral:rRNA from 1 species
CGGCGGACGGGUGAGUAAGCGUGGGUAACCUGCCUCAUACAGGGGGAUAACAGUUAGAAAUGACUGCUAAUACCGCAUAAGACCACGGUACCGCAUGGUACAGUGGUAAAAACUCCGGUGGUAUGAGAUGGACCCGCGUCUGAUUAGGUAGUUGGUGGGGUAACGGCCUACCAAGCCGACGAUCAGUAGCCGACCUGAGAGGGUGACCGGCCACAUUGGGACUGAGACACGGCCCAA